ACGGAAGGCAGCAGUGGGGAAUAUUGCACAAUGGGCGAAAGCCUGAUGCAGCGACGCCGCGUGAGUGAAGAAGUAUUUCGGUAUGUAAAGCUCUAUCAGCAGGGAAGAUAAUGACGGUACCUGACUAAGAAGCACCGGCUAAAUACGUGCCAGCAGCCGCGGUAAUACGUAUGGUGCAAGCGUUAUCCGGAUUUACUGGGUGUAAAGGGUGCGUAGGUGGCAUGGCAAGUCAGAAGUGAAAGGUGAGGGCUCAACCCUUAGACUGCUUUUGAAACUGUCAAGCUAGAGUACAGGAGAGGAAAGCGGAAUUCCUAGUGUAGCGGUGAAAUGCGUAGAUAUUAGGAGGAACACCAGUGGCGAAGGCGGCUUUCUGGACUGACACUGACACUGAGGCACGAAAGCGUGGGGAGCAAACAGGAUUAGAUACCCUGGUA
rnacentral:rRNA from 1 species